rnacentral:rRNA from 1 species
AUUGAACGCUGGCGGCAUGCCUAACACAUGCAAGUCGAACGGCAGCACAGCAGUAGCAAUACUGUGGGUGGCGAGUGGCGGACGGGUGAGUAAUGCAUCGGGACCUACCUGAACGUGGGGGAUAACGUAGGGAAACUUACGCUAAUACCGCAUACGUCCUACGGGAGAAAGCGGGGGAUCUUCGGACCUCGCGCGGUCAGACGGACCGAUGUUCGAUUAGCUAGUUGGUAGGGUAAUGGCCUACCAAGGCGACGAUCGAUAGCUGGUCUGAGAGGAUGAUCAGCCACACUGGAACUGAGACACGGUCCAGACUCCUACGGGAGGCAGCAGUGGGGAAUAUUGGACAAUGGGCGCAAGCCUGAUCCAGCAAUGCCGCGUGUGCGAAGAAGGCCUUCGGGUUGUAAAGCACUUUUAUCGGGAGCGAAAUACUAUCGGUUAAUAACCGGUGGGGCUGACGGUACCCGAGGAAUAAGCACCGGCUAACUUCGUGCCAGCAGCCGCGGUAAUACGAAGGGUGCAAGCGUUAAUCGGAAUUACUGGGCGUAAAGGGUGCGUAGGCGGUUUGUUAAGUCUGUCGUGAAAUCCCCGGGCUCAACCUGGGAAUGGCGAUGGAUACUGGCA